CACAAUAAGCCAAUGCAUGCCAGUCAUUAGUAGGCUGACGUUAGGCCCUUUGGAUACCUAUCCAGAGGUCAGGUAGCUGCAGGGGAAGGGACAGAGUCUUGUUACCUUGUCCAAGAUUUCUACGUUGGUCUGACCAUAAAAGAAAAAGUAAAAUCCUAUCUUUGCAGCAAAAUCAAUUUAAUUGGAGAAAUUAUUUUGUGAAAUAAGUCAGAGAGAGAGAGAAAGAGAGAGAGAGAGAGAGAGAGAGAGAGAGAGAGAGAAGAGAGAGAGAAAUAGUACAUGUUCUCUCUGUGUAUUUUUAAGUACAUUUUUAUGGCUAAGUAAGAUUUGAUCACUUUAGCUCAACAUAGCAACCUUGGGAAAGACAGCAAGAACCUAGCGUCCUCCCACACACAACAAAAUAAAGCCUACCAUCUACCCUACGUCUGAGGAUGCAUUUAAAGGAAAUAGAGUUGACAAACCAGAGACCAUCAUGGUAAUGCUUACUGUAGCAGGAUUCGGAAAGCCCGGAAUAGUAGCUAGUAGACAUUGGGAAGAAGAGUCCACAGGUUCAGCAGAUGUAAGAGAGUGAACCGGGACGACUCGGGAGUGGUCAGAAUGUACCACACCAGAAACUUCAGAAGAGCCUGGACCUCAACCCUGUGAAAUUGUCUCCCGAAUUCCAGCUGCCUCACAUCAAAAUCAACCCUUUCAAGCUUGCUUCCUCACCCUGGAAAGGUCUCUUAUUCAUUCAUCACGUUCAUUGCUUCACAAUGUCAAGCUCUUUGGGCAGAGCAUGAGCACUGGGCUCACAACGUCCUGGCCUCCUCUGACCAUCCUUCCUGCUUCGGGUCAGCGUUUCCCUCCCCUUUGCAUCUAGAAGAGCUGUUCCCUGAGCUGGAUAGGCUCAUUCCUGGGCUAUUAUAGCCCCCCAGGGCUUUGCAACCAUGUGUGGUCACAUGACCAGGUUCCAGCCAAUAAAACAGCUACUCACACCCA